UUAAGUAGAGGCGCGACAGACAUGAGUAUCACAUGCUGAGGCACUGACAGCCAAACCAGGGUGUGAGAAAGGGGAUGCCGCCGAAGCAAAACGGACCGUCAGACCGUUUCUGCUGGGUCUGCAGUGAAGAACUGCAGGACUGUCACCGCAAGGUGGAGUGCUACUUC
rnacentral:ncRNA from 1 species